rnacentral:rRNA from 1 species
GACGAACGCUGGCGGCGUGCCUAAUACAUGCAAGUCGAACGCAGUGGGGACGGGUGCUUAACACGUGGGUAACCUCCCAUCAGAGGAGGUAACACUUGGAAACAGGUGCUAAACCGAUAUUGAUGUAUGGACCCGCGGUGCAUUAGCUAGUUGGUGAGGUAACGGCGCACCAAGGCCACGAUGCAUAGCCGGCCUGAGAGGGUGAUCGGCCACACUGGGACUGAGACACGGCCCAGACUCCUACGGGAGGCAGCAGUAGGGAAUAUUCGGCAAUGGGCGAAAGUCUGACAGAGCCACGCCGCGUGAGUGAAGAAGGUUUUCGGAUCGUAAAAUACUGUUGUUAGAGAAGCGGUAUCUAACCAGAAAGCCACGGCUAACUACGUGCCAGCAGCCGCGGUAAUUC